UAUAAUUCUCAGGGCGGGGCGCAAUUCCCCACCGGCGGUAAACUUGAAAAAGUGAGCCCGCGAGCGCUCGAUUCGUCGAGGUCAGCAGAUCUGGUGACUUAGGUUUUACUCAUGAGUAAUGCCUAACAGUCCAGAGCCGACGGUUACAGUCCGGAUGAGAGAGAAUAGAG
rnacentral:ncRNA from 2 species